rnacentral:rRNA from 1 species
GAUGAACGCUAGCUACAGGCUUAACACAUGCAAGUCGAGGGACCGGCGCCCGGGUGAUUAACACGUAUCCAACCUGCCCUUUACUCGGGGAUAGCCUUUCGAAAGCAAGAUUAAUACACGAUAUAAAGGCCGGGGAUGCGUUCCAUUAGGUUGUUGGUGAGGUAACGGCUCACCAAGCCUUCGAUGGAUAGGGGUUCUGAGAGGAAGGUCCCCCACAUUGGAACUGAGACACGGUCCAAACUCCUACGGGAGGCAGCAGUGAGGAAUAUUGGUCAAGGGGCGCUAGCCUGAACCAGCCAAGUAGCGUGAAGGAUGAAGGCUUAUGGGACGUAAACUUCUUUUAUAGAAGAAUAGGUAUUAGAUGAAUAAGGAUCGGCUAACUCCGUGCCAGCAGCCGCGGUAAUUC